rfam:Triticum aestivum genome assembly, contig: Triticum_aestivum_CS42_TGACv1_scaffold_592456_7BS
UACUUACUCCUUCCAUCCCAAAAUUCUUGUCUUAAAUUUGUCUACAUACGAAUGUAUCAUGUCACGUUUUAGUAUUAGAUACAUACGUAUCUAGACAAAUGUAAGACAAGAAUUUUAGGAUAGAGGGAGUAUAAA